UACCAAUACCAACUUCAGAGAAACUGCAUCCUGUUUCAAAUGUACACAUGCAAGAGCAGAUCUGUAUCACUGUCUGUAAGAGUGCACACUAAUCAUGCAUUGAAACUAUAUUUAGAUACUGACAGCAUGCCAAUUUUGCCACUCUCACUUGAAUUUGUGCUAUUUGGACCCUUACCAGGUCAACCCAUAUCUAAUAAACAUUUUUAACAGUAGUUGGAUGCAAAACUACCCUUCAAGUAUGAAUCCAGCCGAAUGCACUCACCUUACAAUUAUUCUUAAUCAAUCUUAAUUUCAUAUUUAAAAUAGAUUGGCUAAACACACUAACCAAUAAAGAGCUCCGUGUCAGGAAAUUUGUUUUGACUUGAAGACCAUAUAUUCUUACUCUGGA